rnacentral:rRNA from 1 species
GAAAACUCCGGUGGUACGGGAUGAGCCCGCGUCCGAUUAGCCAGUUGGCGGGGUAACGGCCCACCAAAGCGACGAUCGGUAGCCGGCCUGAGAGGGUGGACGGCCACAUUGGGACUGAGACACGGCCCAAACUCCUACGGGAGGCAGCAGUGGGGAAUAUUGCACAAUGGGGGAAACCCUGAUGCAGCGACGCCGCGUGAGUGAAGAAGCGCCUCGGCGCGUAAAGCUCUGUCAGCAGGAACGAUAAUGACGGUACCUGAAGAAGAAGCCCCGGCUAACUACGUGCCAGCAGCCGCGGUAAUACGUAGGGGGCAAGCGUUAUCCGGAUUUACUGGGUGUAAAGGGAGCGUAGACGGCGGGGCAAGUCUGGAGUGAAAGGCCGGGGCCCAACCCCGGGACCGCUCUGGAAACUGCCCGGCUGGAGUGCGGGAGAGGUAAGCGGAAUUCCUAGUGUAGCGGUGAAAUGCGUAGAUAUUAGGAGGAACACCAGCGGCGAAGGCGGCUUACUGGACCGUGACUGACGUUGAGGCUCGAAAGCGUGGGGAGCAAACAGGAUUAGAUACCCUGGUAGUCCACGCCGUAAACGAUGAUCACUAGGUGUCGG